AGAUUGAACGCUGGCGGCAUGCCUUACACAUGCAAGUCGAACGAGAAAGGGGAGCAAUCCCUGAGUACAGUGGCGACCGGGUGAGUAACACGUGACUAACCUACCCUCGAGUGUGGAAUAACAUCGGGAAACCGAUGCUAAUACCGCAUAACAUCGCAAGAUCAAAGGAGUAAUCCGCUUGAGGAGGGGGUCGCGGCUGAUUAGCUAGUUGGCGGGGUAAUGGCCCACCAAGGCGAAGAUCGGUA
rnacentral:rRNA from 1 species